rnacentral:rRNA from 1 species
ACUGCUCAGUAACACGUGGAUAACCUGCCCUUGGGUCCGGCAUAACCCCGGGAAACUGGGGAUAAUUCCGGAUAACGCAUAUGUGCUGGAAUGCUUUAUGCGUCAAAUGGAUUCGUCCGCCCAAGGAUGGGUCUGCGGCCUAUCAGGUAGUAGUGGGUGUAAUGUACCUACUAGCCAGCGACGGGUACGGGUUGUGAGAGCAAGAGCCCGGAGAUGGAUUCUGAGACAUGAAUCCAGGCCCUACGGGGCGCAGCAGGCGCGAAAACUUUACAAUGCGGGAAACCGUGAUAAGGGGACACCGAGUGUCAGCAUCAUAUGCUGGCUGUCCAGGUGUGUAAAAUACACCUGUUAGCAAGGGCCGGGCAAGACCGGUGCCAGCCGCCGCGGUAACACCGGCGGCCCGAGUGGUGAUCGUGAUUAUUGGGUCUAAAGGGUCCGUAGCCGGUUUGGUCAGUCCUCCGGGAAAUCUGAUAGCUCAACUAUUAGGCUAUCGGGGAUACUACCAGGCUUGGAACCGGGAGAGGUAAGAGGUACUACAGGGGUAGGAGUGAAAUCUUGUAAUCCCUGUGGGACCACCUGUGGCGAAGGCGUCUUACCAGAACGGGUUCGACGGUGAGGGACGAAAGCUGGGGGCACGAACCGGAUUAGAUACCCGGGUAGUCCCAGCCGUAAACGAUGCUCGCUAGGUGUCAGGCAUGGCGCGACCGUGUCUGGUGCCGUAGGGAAGCCGUGAAGCGAGCCACCUGGGAAGUACGGCCGCAAGGCUGAAACUUAAAGGAAUUGGCGGGGGAGCAC